GUUUGAUCCUGGCUCAGGAUGAACGCUGGCGGCGUGCUUAACACAUGCAAGUCGAACGAUCCUUCGGGAUAGUGGCGGACGGGUGAGUAACGCGUGGGAAUCUGCCCUCAGGAGGGGGAUAACGGCUGGAAACGGCCGCUAAUACCCCAUAUGCCGAGAGGUGAAAUGAAUUUCGCCUGAGGAUGAGCCCGCGUCUGAUUAGCUAGUUGGUGGGGUAAUGGCCUACCAAGGCAACGAUCAGUAGCUGGUCUGAGAGGAUGAUCAGCCACACUGGGACUGAGACACGGCCCAGACUCCUACGGGAGGCAGCAGUGGGGAAUUUUCCGCAAUGGGCGAAAGCCUGACGGAGCAACGCCGCGUGAGGGAUGAAGGCCUCUGGGCUGUAAACCUCUUUUCUCAAGGAAGAAGACCUGACGGUACUUGAGGAAUAAGCCACGGCUAAUUCCGUGCCAGCAGCCGCGGUAAUACGGGAGUGGCAAGCGUUAUCCGGAAUUAUUGGGCGUAAAGCGUCCGCAGGCGGCCUUGUAAGUCUGUUGUUAAAGCGUGGAGCUCAACUCCAUUUAAGCAAUGGAAACUACAAGGCUGGAGUGUGGUAGGGGCAGAGGGAAUUCCCGGUGUAGCGGUGAAAUGCGUAGAUAUCGGGAAGAACACCAGUGGCGAAGGCGCUCUGCUGGGCCAUAACUGACGCUCAUGGACGAAAGCCAGGGGAGCGAAAGGGAUUAGAUACCCCUGUAGUCCUGCCGUAAACGAUGAACACUAGGUGUCGGGGGAAUCGACCCCCUCGGUGUCUUAGCCAACGCGUUAAGUGUUCCGCCUGGGGAGUACGCACGCAAGUGUGAAACUCGAAGGAAUUGACGGGGGCCCGCACAAGCGGUGGAGUAUGUGGUUUAAUUCGAUGCAACGCGAAGAACCUUACCAGGGUUUGACAUCCUGCGAACCCCUGAGAAAUCGGGGGGUGCCUUCGGGAGCGCAGAGACAGGUGGUGCAUGGCUGUCGUCAGCUCGUGUCGUGAGAUGUUGGGUUAAGUCCCGCAACGAGCGCAACCCACGUCUUUAGUUGCCAGCAUUCAGUUGUGCACUCUAGAGAGACCGCCGGUGAUAAACCGGAGGAAGGUGUGGAUGACGUCAAGUCAUCAUGCCCCUUACAUCCUGGGCUACACACGUACUACAAUGCUACGGACAAAGGGCAGCAAGCUCGCGAGAGUUAGCAAAUCCCAUAAACCGUGGCUCAGUUCAGAUCGUAGGCUGCAACUCGCCUACGUGAAGGAGGAAUCGCUAGUAAUCGCAGGUCAGCAUACUGCGGUGAAUACGUUCCCGGGCCUUGUAC
rnacentral:rRNA from 1 species